GACGAACGCUGGCGGCGUGCUUAACACAUGCAAGUCGAACGGUGAAGCGCUUUCCUUUUUGGUUGGUGUGGAUGAGUGGCGAACGGGUGAGUAACACGUGAGUAACCUGCCCCCUUCUUCUGGAUAACCGCAUGAAAGUGUGGCUAAUACGGGAUAUUCUGCGCCUGCUGCAUGGUGGGUGUGGGAAAGAUUGUGCCUUUGGGUGUUUUCGGUGGGGGAUGGGCUCGCGGCCUAUCAGCUUGUUGGUGGGGUGAUGGCCUACCAAGGCGGUGACGGGUAGCCGGCCUGAGAGGGUGGACGGUCACACUGGGACUGAGACACGGCCCAGACUCCUACGGGAGGCAGCAGUGGGGAAUAUUGCACAAUGGGCGCAAGCCUGAUGCAGCGACGCCGCGUGAGGGAGGGAGGCCUUCGGGUUGUGAACCUCUUUCGCCAGUGAAGCAGGCCUGCUCCUUGUGGGUGGGUUGACGGUAGCUGGAGAAGAAGCGCCGGCUAACUACGUG
rnacentral:rRNA from 1 species